rnacentral:rRNA from 1 species
AUUGAACGCUGGCGGCAGGCCUAACACAUGCAAGUCGAACGAGUGGCGGACGGGUGAGUAAUGUCUGGGAAACUGCCUGAUGGAGGGGGAUAACUACUGGAAACGGUAGCUAAUACCGCAUACCAUCAGAUGUGCCCAGAUGGGAUUUGCUUGUUGGUGGGGUAACGGCUCACCAAGGCGACGAUCCCUAGCUGGUCUGAGAGGAUGACCAGUCACCCUGGAAACGAGAAACGGUCCCGAAUCCUACGGGAGGCAGGAGGGGGGAAUAUUGCACAAUGGGCGCAAGCCUGAAGCAGCCCAGGCGGGUGGAUGAAGGAGGCCUUUGGGUUGUAAAGUACUUGCAGCGGGGAGGCGUUACCCGCAGAAGAAGCACCGGCUAACUCCGUGCCAGCAGCCGCGGUAAUAC